UACGAAGGGUGCUAGCGUUGUUCGGAUUUACUGGGCGUAAAGCGCACGUAGGCGGAUCGUUAAGUCGGGGGUGAAAUCCUGGAGCUCAACUCCAGAACUGCCUUCGAUACUGGCGAUCUUGAGUCCGGAAGAGGUGAGUGGAACUCCUAGUGUAGAGGUGGAAUUCGUAGAUAUUAGGAAGAACACCAGUGGCGAAGGCGGCUCACUGGUCCGGUACUGACGCUGAGGUGCGAAAGCGUGGGGAGCAAACAGG
rnacentral:rRNA from 1 species